rnacentral:ncRNA from 1 species
AAAGUUGUUGCAGUUAAAAAGCUCGUAGUUGAACCUUGGGCCUGGCUGAUCUGUCUUCCUAAACGUUGUACGGAUUCGGUCGGGCCUUUCCUUCUGGGGAAUCCUAUGUCCUUUGUUGGGCGUAGUGGGGAACCAGGACUUUUACCUUGAAAAAAUUAGAGUGUUCAAAGCAGGCCGUAUGUUGCACGCAACCGUAUAGGACGUUAGGGUAGUUAGAACUCUGCGGUGGCGUCAUUCGGACUUCAGGAAUCUUAAUAUCACGCACCAACCACGCCAUAACAGCCUCGUAUUACCAUUCCUUUCCAUCAAGAUCUG